rnacentral:rRNA from 1 species
UACGGAGGGGGCUAGCGUUGUUCGGAAUUACUGGGCGUAAAGCGCACGUAGGCGGCUUUGUAAGUUAGAGGUGAAAGCCCAGGGCUUAACCCUGGAAUUGCCUUUAAGACUGCAUCGCUAGAAUCGUGGAGAGGUAAGUGGAAUUCCGAGUGUAGAGGUGAAAUUCGUAGAUAUUCGGAAGAACACCAGUGGCGAAGGCGGCUCACUGGCUGAACACUGACGCUAAAGCGCGAAAGCGUGGGGAGCAAACAGG